UGGUAUAGCCAUAUCACCCUGUAGCCCAAGACUGGUUGCCCACUGAAGCUAAGUAGGGCUGAGCCUGGUCAGUACCUGGAUGGGAGACCUCCUGGGAAAACUAGGUUGCUGCUGG
rnacentral:rRNA from 1 species